GCGGCCUGGAUGUUUGUGUGUGUGGCAAGGUCCGGAUUGGCGCAAACAAGAGAGAGACAGUGGAUGGUUGACGAUUAACAGAAGCAGAAUCAACAGUUACCAGCCUCAGAAGAAAAAAGAUUUUUAUUUACAGAGAAGCGAAGCUCAUCUCAAAGAAGCCAAGAGAUGUACAGCAAUAACGAACAGUUGAUAGAAAAAACAUUAAGUAGCACUACUCACAGUGUUUGCGUGUUUUGAAGAAAAUGGUUGAGUAUGAUUUGUUGUUUUUCUAAGGCAUCUACGAACAGAACAAAAAUUAAUAACUGUACAC